CCCGUUCUUGUGCGAUCACUGAAGUUAAGCAACGUCGAGCCUGGUCAUUACCUAAAUGGGUGACCUCUUAGGAAUACCAGGUGCUGUAAG